AGCAACCGUAGUGAACGAAGCAGUGGACUACAUAAAAGUUCUGCAGGAAACUCUGGAAAAGCUAGAGAGAAAGAAAGAAGAAAGGGCACAACAUGUUCUGAAACAAAUUAUGGGAAGGAGUUCUGGUGCGGGUUCAGUGUCUGAGAAGCAGAAAGGUUUUGAUAAAACUUGGGCUGCUUCAAACAUGGUCCUGAACAUUCGUGGAAAUGAAGCUCAAUUCUCGAUUUGCUCAGUGCAUAAGCCAGGACUCAUGACCAACAUUGCUUCUGUGCUGGAAAAGCACAACAUAGAACUCAUUUCUGCAACCAUUUCGGCCAAUGGAAAUGGAAGUACAUGCAUGAUUCAAGUCCAUGGAAAACAAGCUUCGGAUGCAAAUUCAAUGGAGG
rnacentral:sRNA from 1 species